GACGAACGCUGGCGGCGUGCUUAACACAUGCAAGUCGAACGGAAAGGCCUCUUUCGGGGGGUCCUCGAGUGGCGAACGGGUGAGUAACACGUGAGUAACCUGCCCUUGACUUUGGGAUACCUUCAGGAAACUGGGGCUACUACCGGAUAGGAGCUCCUGCUGCAUGGUGGGGGUUGGAGAGUUUCGGCGGUUGGGGAGGGCCUCGCGGCUUAUCAGCUUGUUGGUGGGGUAGUGGCUUACCCAGGCGUUGACGGGUAGCCGGCCUGGGGGGGGGACCGGCCCCAUUGGGGCCGGGAUACGGGCCAGGCUCCCACCGGGAGCAGGAGUUGGGAAUUUUGCACAAUGGGUGGGAGCCCGAUGCAGCAACGCCGUGUGCGGGGUGGCCGGCUUCCGGGUGGAAACCGCCUUCGCGCAGGACGGAGCUUUGUGUGACGGUAGUGGGUAAAGAAGCACCGGCUAACUACGUG
rnacentral:rRNA from 1 species